UACGGAGGAUGCGAGCGUUAUCCGGAUUUAUUAGGGUUUAAAGGGUGCGUAGGCGGCUUAGUAAGUCAGCGGUGAAAUUUUGCAGCUUAACUGUAACAGUGCCGUUGAUACUGCCAGGCUAGGAUUUGGUUGCUGUGGGUGGAAUGUGUGGUGUAGCGGUGAAAUGCUUAGAUAUCAUACAGAAUAUCGAUUGCGAAGGCAGCUCACAAAGCCAAGAUUGACGCUGAGGCACGAAAGUGUGGGGAUCAAACA
rnacentral:rRNA from 1 species